CAUGUGUGUACAGUUUUGUGUGCAUGUGUGUCUAUGAAUAUACAUAUACAUCCACACAAACAUAUACGAGCAUGCACAGAUACACACACAU
rnacentral:miRNA from 1 species